rnacentral:rRNA from 1 species
AGUGAACGCUGGCGGCAGGCCUAACACAUGCAAGUCGAACGAGUGGCGGACGGGUGAGUAAUGUCUGGGAAACUGCCUGAUGGAGGGGGAUAAUUACUGGCAACGGUAGCUAAUACCUCAUACGAUUGGAGGUGUCCAGUUUGGCUUAGCUUGUUGGUGGGGUACCGGCUCACCAAGUCGACGAUCCCUAGCUGGUCUGAGGGGAUGACCAAUCACACUGCAGCUGAGACGCGGUCCAACAUCCUAAGUGAGGCACCGGUGAGAAAUAUAGCGCAAGCGGCAGUAGCCUAUUGCAGCCAUGCCGCGUGUACGAAGAGGGCCUUCGGGUUGUAAAGUACUUUCAGCGGGGGGGCGUUACCCGCAGAAGAAGCACCGGCUAACUCCGUGCCAGCCGCCGCGGUAAUUC